rnacentral:rRNA from 1 species
GACGAACGCUGGCGGCGUGCUUAGCACAUGCAAGUCGAACGGAAAGGCCCUGCUUUUGUGGGGUUCUCGAGUGGCGAACGGGUGAGUAACACGUGUGUAACCUGCCCUUGUCUUUGGGAUAACUUCAGGAAACUGGGGCUAAUACCGGAUAGGAUCUCCUGCUGCAUGGUGGGGGUUGGAAAGUUUCGGCGGUUGGGGAUGGACUCGCGGGUUAUCAGCUUGUUGGUGGGGUAGUGGCUUACCAAGGUUUUGACGGGUAGCCGGCAUGAGAGGGUGACCGGCCACAAUGGGACUGAGAUACGGCCCAGACGCCUACGGGAGGCAGCAGGGGGGAAUAUUGCACAAUGGGCGGAAGCCUGAUGAAGCAACGCCGCGUGCGGGAUGACGGCCUUCGGGUAGAAAACAGCAUUCGCAUGUGACGAAGCGGGAGUGACGGUAAUGGGUAAAGAAGCACCGGCUAACUACGUG